rnacentral:rRNA from 1 species
UCAUCUCCGGGGGUAGAGCACUGUUUCGGCAAGGGGGUCAUCCCGACUUACCAACCCGAUGCAAACUGCGAAUACCGGAGAAUGUUAUCACGGGAGACACACGGCGGGUGCUAACGUCCGUCGUGAAGAGGGAAACAACCCAGACCGCCAGCUAAGGUCCCAAAGUCAUGGUUAAGUGGGAAACGAUGUGGGAAGGCCCAGACAGCCAGGAUGUUGGCUUAGAAGCAGCCAUCAUUUAAAGAAAGCGUAAUAGCUCACUGGUCGAGUCGGCCUGCGCGGAAGAUGUAACGGGGCUAAACCAUGCACCGAAGCUGCGGCAGCGACGCUUAUGCGUUGUUGGGUAGGGGAGCGUUCUGUAAGCCUGCGAAGGUGUGCUGUGAGGCAUGCUGGAGGUAUCAGAAGUGCGAAUGCUGACAUAAGUAACGAUAAAGCGGGUGAAAAGCCCGCUCGCCGGAAGACCAAGGGUUCCUGUCCAACGUUAAUCGGGGCAGGGUGAGUCGACCCCUAAGGCGAGGCCGAAAGGCGUAGUCGAUGGGAAACAGGUUAAUAUUCCUGUACUUGGUGUUACUGCGAAGGGGGGACGGAGAAGGCUAUGUUGGCCGGGCGACGGUUGUCCCGGUUUAAGCGUGUAGGCUGGUUUUCCAGGCAAAUCCGGAAAAUCAAGGCUGAGGCGUGAUGACGAGGCACUACGGUGCUGAAGCAACAAAUGCCCUGCUUCCAGGAAAAGCCUCUAAGCAUCAGGUAACAUCAAAUCGUACCCCAAACCGACACAGGUGGUCAGGUAGAGAAUACCAAGGCGCUUGAGAGAACUCGGGUGAAGGAACUAGGCAAAAUGGUGCCGUAACUUCGGGAGAAGGCACGC